rnacentral:rRNA from 1 species
AGUGAACGCUGGCGGUAGUCCUAACACAUGCAAGUCGAACGGCAGCACAGUAAGAGCUUGCUCUUACGGGUGGCGAGUGGCGGACGGGUGAGGAAUACAUCGGAAUCUACUUUUUCGUGGGGGAUAACGUAGGGAAACUUACGCUAAUACCGCAUACGACCUACGGGUGAAAUCAGGGGAUCUUCGGACCUUGCGCGAUUGAAUGAGCCGAUGUCGGAUUAGCUAGUUGGCGGGGUAAAGGCCCACCAAGGCGACGAUCCGUAGCUGGUCUGAGAGGAUGAUCAGCCACACUGGAACUGAGACACGGUCCAGACUCCUACGGGAGGCAGCAGUGGGGAAUAUUGGACAAUGGGCGCAAGCCUGAUCCAGCCAUACCGCGUGGGUGAAGAAGGCCUUCGGGUUGUAAAGCCCUUUUGUUGGGAAAGAAAAGCAGCAGGUUAAUACCCCGCUGUUCUGACGGUACCCAAAGAAUAAGCACCGGCUAACUUCGUG